CUGUAGGAAAACAAGUUAUCCACCAACCUCUUUCCCACUCAAAAUAAGUAAGAGUUGGGGAGUGUGCAGGUGGCAGAAAAACUAGAUUGGAAAGGGUUAAGGAGGUAGAGAGAUGGACAGAAGGAUAAUAGAUGGACGGAGAGAGAAUGGACAGAUGGUUGUCUCAAUGCCUAAAUGAAUGGACAGAUGAGUAUACAGACAGCCAACUUGCUGGAUGGUGAGGAGUAAAAGGCUGGUCUCUUUGGCCUGCCAACCUGCUGGGAUUACAGGCGUGAACCACUGCACCCAGCCUUAUCAUCGUGUCUUCGUUUUGUAGAAACGUAACAGAGCACCAGCCAUCUACCAAGCUUGCACUGAUGUAGGUAGGUCUGGAGGGAGUGACCAACAGGUGCUUUUUGUGUGUUGCAUUUUAAUGCGGAGGAUGACCAACAAGAGCAGAGGGUGACAGGGUGGGCAACAGGUGUGUGGGAGUUCAUUGUACAAUUCUCUCCAUUUCUGGAUAAGUCUAAAAAUCCCCACAAAACAUGCAGGAGCAUGUUCUCCCAGAGGGGCAUGUGGCCAGAGAAGAAUGUUUCACUUUUCUUCUCCCUUUGGGCUGCGAGUCUCAUCUGCAGGUUUGAACAAGCACCCUGUCCUUCUCCUGGCAGGAAGAUGGAGACCAGGGGUGGCCUGUCCUGGGGCCCACGGCUAAGAACCACUUCCACACGAUAGGGGCCACUGGGUACGUGCUGCUGCUACGGCGAGAAUCAUGGGGGAUUAACCAUUCCCUUAGGUUUGGUGGCACCAACGGCUGCAUUUGGAAAUUGUCUGGCACGAAGCGAAAGGGUGCCUUCUGACUAAUGACCUAAAGUAAAGAUACAUGGCGCAUAUAUGGUAAGAAUUCAACGGGUCAAACCUAAGUGGGGGGCAUGUGAGUAAUUAAUCCCUCAUCUUUGUACAACAGUUGAAACUUCUCGUCAUAAAAGCCUCAAGUCAUUUCGGCAAACUAAGGAAGCAGGUCCCGCCUCGGCCUGCCCGAGUUCAGACUCUGGCCUCAGCCUUCUUUCAAGCCCAGGCCUUAAGGGAGGCCCUAGCUCUCCUGUGGACUCUCACCUCUACCUGCGGCCUUCUGGGCCCGCUCUUGGGUUCCCGCAGCAUCCGGCUCGGAAGGGCCAGCCCGGCCAGCCAUCUCCUCUCAGGUCUCCCUCCUCGGCCUGGAUGCUCUGCAGUGCGCCUGCGCAGUGCUCUCCCACGCACGCGCUCCUGCGCAGAGGGCAGGUGGGUAACGACCUGGCGCCGCUGCCUGGAAGCGGCUGCCUGUGCCUGAUUCCUCAACUGAGCCACCACCCUGCAAAUUCCGUUCAGAGAUGAGGGCUGAGAUUGCGAUUGGUUGCGUGAGGAGCUGGGCCUGCGCAGGUGCACAAAACUCCUGCGACCUCGCCCCCGGGUUAUGAGGCCACAUGCGGUCAAUGCGCAUGUGCACGCUGUCUGAGCCUGUGCUCUAUUCUCCCUAGUCGAGCUUCGGUCCCCAACCCGCGCCGGCUUUGUGCAUCGCCAAGUAAUCUUGCGGGAGUGGGUGAGUUAUAUCCCAGUAAAGCAAAAUUAAAGUCGGCAGGAUGGCGGCUCUUCUCACAAGUGCAGAGGAGCACGUACUGCCCAGGCCCCGCGCCCUCAGCUCUCUCUUAGGGUCGCCCAGUUGGCCGCGGCCCCUCCCCGGUGGACCCUGAUCACGUGCAGUGCCCGCUUGGGCCCCAGACCCCUCCUGGACACUGGUAUCCUGCCAUGACCUGGGGUACUGGGGAGGGAGGAAGCAUCUUCCCAAGCUAUCUGGUGCAACCAUCCUGAACCAUUGCUGAGCUUCAGCUCUAUUGUUUUGGAUAUGGUCCUAUAGUUCACCUUUUGUGUGGAUUGGGGUUACUCUUUGUGUACCUGUGGUACCUGCUAUUGAAAUCAUUUCUAUCAACUACCUGGGAAAAUAAGAGACAUCAAAAAGGUCAGAGAUUUUGCCACAGAGAAGCAGAGGAAGAAAGGAAGGUGCUUUCUAUUCUGAUAGAGAAUGAUCUAUCUCUAAGGUCAGAACAGAAGAUAUAUAGAAUUAAGGAUUGAGUCAAUCUGGAAGCUUCCAUGAGAGAUGUUCAAAAAUUCUUUUACUAAAGAAGGAUGUGAAGAAGGAUCAGAGAUAUAGCCUGGAGAAUGGCCCAAAAGAUCAUCUGUUGAGUGACCCAGAGAGGGGAAGUCGGCCAGGAAUGAAGAAGGCAUGAUCAAUAUGGGCCAGGGGGGCUGGUCAGUCACAGCAAAGGAGAGGAUUGUCCCCUUCACUCCCACUUCUAGGAGUUCUCCAGGUGUGACAUGACCCAGCCUGAUGGCAGGAGGAAACGCGAAGCUGGAGGUGAGCCCAAUGCCAAUAUCUGUGGUCCCAAGCUGUGGUGGCUGUGAAUGGAUCUGGGCACAUAGCAUUGGGAGCCACCAAGUAGAGCCUGCCAGGCUCUGCAGUAGCAGAGCCAUCAGGAUGGACACAACUAUAUGGAGAGACCACAAACAGGAGCCACUUGCAGCCCAAGGUCAGGAAGUGAAAAUGGCUGCACCCAGCUCUACAGCUUUUCAUGAAGAAAAGGUAGGAACAACAAAAUCAUUUCCUAGCCUGGAUGCUCUCCUCCCUGCUAAUUCACCUGUGGGCAAAAGAGGAUAGGGAGCCCUAUGACAAUUACCAUCUGUGAUCAACCAUGAGCUUACAGAGAACAUCCAGACAAUUGAGGAUGGCAGGCAGACUUUUCUUUGCCCCCUACCCCAGCAGCAUAAAGUUAGAAGCUUACUAUACUGGCCAAUAGAUACAGGCCAAAGAUGUCCACAAGGUAAGCUGGGGGUGGACAUGAGGCAGUACAUAAGAACAUAAGUUCCAAUGAUGGAUUAGAAAGGCUUUGGGGCAAAAGGAUGAAGAAAUCAGAACAUUUUCCCAUAUUCAACAGGUCCAGGGAGAUAGGACAGAGUAAGAGCUCCUUGCUCUUCAAUAACAAUCUAGUAACAACUUGACAUCCAGUGAGUCAGAAAGCUCCC